ACCAAAGAGGGGGACCUUCGGGCCUCUUGCCAUCAGAUGUGCCCAGAUGGGAUUAGCUAGUAGGUGGGGUAAUGGCUCACCUAGGCGACGAUCCCUAGCUGGUCUGAGAGGAUGACCAGCCACACUGGAACUGAGACACGGUCCAGACUCCNUACGGGAGGCAGCAGUGGGGAAUAUUGCACAAUGGGCGCAAGCCUGAUGCAGCCAUGCCGCGUGUGUGAAGAAGGCCUUCGGGUUGUAAA
rnacentral:rRNA from 1 species